rnacentral:rRNA from 1 species
CACUGUGUGUUGUUGGGUAGGGGAGCGUUCUGUAAGCCUGUGAAGGUGUGCUGUGAGGCAUGCUGGAGGUAUCAGAAGUGCGAAUGCUGACAUAAGUAACGAUAAAGCGGGUGAAAAGCCCGCUCGCCGGAAGACCAAGGGUUCCUGUCCAACGUUAAUCGGGGCAGGGUGAGUCGACCCCUAAGGCGAGGCCGAAAGGCGUAGUCGAUGGGAAACAGGUUAAUAUUCCUGUACUUGGUGUUACUGCGAAGGGGGGACGGAGAAGGCUAUGUUGGCCGGGCGACGGUUGUCCCGGUUUAAGCGUGUAGGCUGGUUUUCCAGGCAAAUCCGGAAAAUCAAGGCUGAGGCGUGAUGACGAGGCACUACGGUGCUGAAGCAACAAAUGCCCUGCUUCCAGGAAAAGCCUCUAAGCAUCAGGUAACAUCAAAUCGUACCCCAAACCGACACAGGUGGUCAGGUAGAGAAUACCAAGGCGCUUGAGAGAACUCGGGUGAAGGAACUAGGCAAAAUGGUGCCGUAACUUCGGGAGAAGGCACGCUGAUAUGUAGGUGAAGUCCCUCGCGGAUGGAGCUGAAAUCAGUCGAAGAUACCAGCUGGCUGCAACUGUUUAUUAAAAACACAGCACUGUGCAAACACGAAAGUGGACGUAUACGGUGUGACGCCUGCCCGGUGCCGGAAGGUUAAUUGAUGGGGUCAGCGCAAGCGAAGCUCUUGAUCGAAGCCCCGGUAAACGGCGGCCGUAACUAUAACGGUCCUAAGGUAGCGAAAUUCCUUGUCGGGUAAGUUCCGACCUGCACGAAUGGCGUAAUGAUGGCCAGGCUGUCUCCACCCGAGACUCAGUGAAAUUGAACUCGCUGUGAAGAUGCAGUGUACCCGCGGCAAGACGGAAAGACCCCGUGAACCUUUACUAUAGCUUGACACUGAACAUUGAGCCUUGAUGUGUAGGAUAGGUGGGAGGCUUUGAAGUGUGGACGCCAGUCUGCAUGGAGCCGACCUUGAAAUACCACCCUUUAAUGUUUGAUGUUCUAACGUGGACCCGUGAUCCGGGUUGCGGACAGUGUCUGGUGGGUAGUUUGACUGGGGCGGUCUCCUCCUAAAGAGUAACGGAGGAGCACGAAGGUUGGCUAAUCCUGGUCGGACAUCAGGAGGUUAGUGCAAUGGCAUAAGCCAGCUUGACUGCGAGCGUGACGGCGCGAGCAGGUGCGAAAGCAGGUCAUAGUGAUCCGGUGGUUCUGAAUGGAAGGGCCAUCGCUCAACGGAUAAAAGGUACUCCGGGGAUAACAGGCUGAUACCGCCCAAGAGUUCAUAUCGACGGCGGUGUUUGGCACCUCGAUGUCGGCUCAUCACAUCCUGGGGCUGAAGUAGGUCCCAAGGGUAUGGCUGUUCGCCAUUUAAAGUGGUACGCGAGCUGGGUUUAGAACGUCGUGAGACAGUUCGGUCCCUAUCUGCCGUGGGCGCUGGAGAACUGAGGGGGGCUGCUCCUAGUACGAGAGGACCGGAGUGGACGCAUCACUGGUGUUCGGGUUGUCAUGCCAAUGGCACUGCCCGGUAGCUAAAUGCGGAAGAGAUAAGUGCUGAAAGCAUCUAAGCACGAAACUUGCCCCGAGAUGAGUUCUCCCUGACCCUUUAAGGGUCCUGAAGGAACGUUGAAGACGACGACGUUGAUAGGCCGGGUGUGUAAGCGCAGCGAUGCGUUGAGCUAACCGGUACUAAUGAACCGUGAGGCUUAACCUUACAACGCCGAAGGUGUUU